UGGAAGAGAAAAGUUGCUGGGAUAGGGGGU
rnacentral:piRNA from 1 species